AACGAACGCUGGCGGCAUGCCUAACACAUGCAAGUCGAACGAGAUCUUCGGGUCUAGUGGCGCACGGGUGCGUAACGCGUGGGAAUCUGCCCUUUGGUUCGGAAUAACAGUUGGAAACGACUGCUAAUACCGGAUGAUGACGAAAGUCCAAAGAUUUAUCGCCAGAGGAUGAGCCCGCGUAGGAUUAGCUAGUUGGUGUGGUAAAGGCGCACCAAGGCGACGAUCCUUAGCUGGUCUGAGAGGAUGGUCAGCCACACUGGGACUGAGACACGGCGCAGACUCCUACGGGAGGCAGCAGUGGGGAAUAUUGGACAGUGGGCGAAAGCCUGAUGCAGCAAUGCCGCGUGAGUGAUGAAGGCCUUAGGGUUGUAAAGCUCUUUUACCCGGGAUGAUAAUGACAGUACCGGGAGAAUAAGCUCCGGCUAACUCCGUGCCAGCCGCCGCCGUAA
rnacentral:rRNA from 1 species